UUUUUUUUCUUUUUUGAGACAGAGUCUUGCUCUUUCACCCAGGCUGGAGUGCAGGGGCGCGAUCUUGGCCCACUGCAACCUCCACCUCCCGGGUCCAGGCGAUCUUCCUGCCUCAGCCUCCUCAGUAGCUGGGAUUACAGGCACAUGCCACCACACCCUGCUAAUUUUUGUAUUUUUAGUAGAGACAGGGUUUCACCAUGUUGGUCAGGCUGGUCUCGAACUCCUGGCCUCAGGUGAUCCGCCCACCUUGGGAUCACCAAGUGUUGGGAUUACAGGCCCGAUACUGCACUACUGCGCUCCAGCCUGGGCAAGAGAGCAAGACUGUCUCAAAAAGAAAAAAAUGUUUAAUAUGUAUCUACUUGUGGCAGUAGUCUACUUAUUAAAAAAAAAAAUGUGUGUGUGUGUGUGUGUGUGUGUGUGUGUGUGUGUGUGUGUGUAAUUUCCUGUCAAGGUUGUAGAAAAUUAAAGGAGAGUUGUGCUUUUUCAAAGGAUAGAGGAGACAGGCCAGGUGCAGUGGCUCAUGUCUGUAAUCCCUCCCAGAGGGAGACUGAGGAGGGGCGGAUCGCUGAGGUCAGGAGUUCGAGACCACCCUGGCCAACAUGGUGAAACCCUGUCUCUACCAAAAAUACAAAAAUUAGCUGGGCAUGGUGGUGCAUGCUUGUAAUCCCAGCUACACGGGAGGCUGAGGCAGGAGAAUCGUUUGAACCUGGCAAAGCAGAGGUUGCAGUGAGCUGAUACCGUGCCACUGUACUCCAGCCUGGGCGAGACAGCGAGACUGUCUC
rnacentral:lncRNA from 10 species